CCGUCCUCGAAAUGUCAUUCCUAGUGGGUUAACACAUGUUUCAGAUAAGCUGCAUUUUAUAUGAAAGAUACGUUGUCAAAAGUGCUACACCUUGUCUAAGGUAACGAGCGAGCCUGUUAUUUGUUAUGGGUGUUGCAGAACUGGUGGCAAAAUGCUUGCAGGCACGCGAGAUGGCUUACUGUCCCUACAGCAAGUUUCCAGUCGGUGCCGCUAUUCUGACGACAGGGGGCACCAUUGUCACUGGGUGCAAUGUUGAGAAUGCCUCCUAUGGUCUUACCGUAUGUGCAGAGAGAACUGCGAUACAGAGAGCGGUCGCAGAAGGCUACAGAAGAUUUACAGCUAUAGCGGUCACAUGUGAUGUCAAGGACAGUUUUGUGGGACCCUGUGGUGCUUGUCGACAGGUAUUAAUUGAGUUUGGUACAGAAUGGGACGUUUACUUGACCAAGCCAGAUGGAUCCUAUAAGAAGACCAGUCUUAGAGACCUCCUGCCAUUAGCAUUUACUCCAGCUCACCUGGAAAACAACUGAGUGUACAAUAUUCCACUUCAAUAUACCAUAAAAAUUAGAAAAGUCUACUUUAAUUUCAUUUAUUAAAUUCUUAUACAUCCACCAUUUCUUCUGCCCCUCCCUUCUAGCCUGUAAUUCUUUGUAUUGUAUCAUAGCACUUAGGUUAUUGUUUUCUUAAAUCUCUUUAGUGUACUCAGUUUUGAAUCACUAUGGAUAACAUCAACUGCUGAUUAAAGGCAAAUGUAGGUAUGUGAAAAGUGAUUCACUUUUUUUCACUUAAACCCAGGCGUGAUCUAAUUUUAUUCAUUUUUUGCUGUUCAGGCUUUGGGUUCAUAUUUAUAUUGGAUAUGCAGAAAAUGUACCCAUCAGUUACUGUUAUGUUCGGCUAUGUGGUUUUCAGGCCCAAAGUUUCCACUAGAGGGCACUGCACACCCUGGGCUAAUUAUUAACAUAGGGUAUGUAGACUCUUGUACUAUUUGACUUUACUGUGUGUUAUUUAACUGUACAGACCCAACUUGUCUGUAAUAGGAAUGUGUGUUUUUCAAACGAAGAGAAAGAAUGUGUACUAAAUGUAUUAGUGAUGGGCAACAAGGAACACAGAGUGGGAGUCAAAAAUGUAACUUUAUGGAAAAUUUUGUAGCUUUUUAAGCAUAAGUACAGAAUGAACAUAAAUGCACAUUCUCAGUCUGAUCACGACAAGGUUAUUUAAAGCUGGGUUGGCUUUAAAGUCUCUCCCAUGUGUUUCCACAUGGGAGAGAAUUAUUUGUAAUCCCUGUAACCCUGGUGCCCCAGGGACUGUUUAGAAUUCUCCUCACUGUUUGGCAGUGGGGGCCAACAUACUGCUUUGUCAAAUGGGAAAACACACAUUGUUCUCUUGGUUGUGUGAGAAGGAAAGUGAGCAUUACUAAGUGGGGGAGACAACCUAAAGAGAACUACAGGCCUUUGUUUGACAGGAGUUUUUAAAAAGUAUAAAUUUGGGUACAGAAUUAAAAAAUGUUUUUGUAAGUAUUACAGAAACGAGCAAAGACUGUGGUGUUGGCAGUCCAAUGUUCAUUGAAAUGGACCAUAACAUCUGUGGUCAUAAGAUAACAAAAAUGGUGACUGCACUUUAUGGCGGAGCAGUUUACAGCCAUUCUGAUUGUGAGGAAAAGUCUACCAUGUAGCGUUUACAAAUUGUUUUAAUUUUGAAUCUACCUGCCACCAUGCUGUCAAAGAUUCAGAUGGGCGGUGGCAUGUAACGUCAGUGGUAUAUAACCCUUUCUCUGUAUGCUGUAGAAUUUAGUUUAAGUACUACUGCUCAAAACGGA